ACCUACGGGAGGCAGCAGUGAGGAAUAUUGGUCAAUGGGCGGGAGCCUGAACCAGCCAAGUAGCGUGCAGGAUGACGGCCCUAUGGGUUGUAAACUGCUUUUGUAUGGGGAUAAAUUGCUCCACGUGUGGAGUAUUGCAGGUACCAUACGAAUAAGGACCGGCUAAUUCCGUGCGAGCCAGCAGCCGCGGU
rnacentral:rRNA from 1 species